CCGCGGGGGGGGGCGGAGCUGGCGCAGCGGAGCUCGGCGCGGCGGAGCCGCCUGCCCCAGCCAUGCCCGCGGGGAGCAACGAGCCGGACGGCAUCGUCCUGAGCUACCAGAGAGUUGAUGAAGAGGCGGUGGUGGAUCAAGGUGGGACCAGUAAUGUCGUCAAUAUUCAUUAUGAGAAAGAAGAGCUGGAAGGGCACAGAACACUGUACGUUGGGGUACGGAUGCCUUUGGUGAGACAAAGCCACAGACAUCACAGGAAUCAUGGCCAAAAACAUAGGAAACGAGACCGGGCAAAGGGAGCCAUUCAAGAAGAGCAGGAAUCUCAUGACACCCCGUCUCAGCGAGUUCAGUUUAUCCUUGGUAUGGAGGAGGAUGAGGAGCAUGUUCCCCAUGAUUUGUUCACAGAGCUGGAUGAAAUCUGUGUGAAAGAAGGGGAAGAUGCAGAAUGGAAGGAAACGGCCAGGUGGCUGAAGUUCGAAGAGGAUGUGGAGGAUGGAGGAGAACGCUGGAGCAAACCCUAUGUCGCGACACUUUCAUUACACAGUCUCUUUGAGCUGAGGAGUUGCAUCAUGAAUGGGACUGUCCUUCUGGAUAUGUGCGCCAACAGCAUCGAGGAAAUUGCAGAUAUAAUCCUGGAUCAGCAAGAACCAAGCAGUGAGUUUGAUGAAAGCAUGAGAGAGAGACUCCGGGAUGCCCUCUUAAAAAAGCAUCAUCACCAGAACGAGAAGAAGAGGAACAACCUCCUUCCGAUUGUCCGCUCUUUCACUGAUGUCAGCAAGAAGCAGUCAGAUCCACACUUAUUGGACAAAACGGCAACGCACACGCUGUCUCCUCAGCCUGGCACUACCAAUCUAGAAGUUAAAAACGGAGUGACCCAGGACACUAGUCCUAUGGAUUUAAGCAAGGCGGAGCUUCAUUUCAUGAAGAAAAUUCCUACUGGAGCAGAAGCUUCCAACGUUCUAGUGGGAGAGUUGGAUUUCCUUCUUCGUCCCCUGGUGGUGUUCGUGCGUCUGACGCCAGCUGUCCUUCUCUCAGGCAUGACAGAAGUCCCGAUCCCAACAAGGUUCUUAUUUUUCUUGUUGGGACCAGAAGGGAAAGCACAUCAGUACCAUGAGAUUGGCAGGUCAAUGGCUACUCUCAUGACAGAUGAGAUUUUCCAUGACGUUGCUUAUAAAGCCAAAGACCGUGCUGACCUUGUAGCUGGUAUUGAUGAAUUCCUGGAUCAGGUGACGGUAUUGCCUCCUGGAGAAUGGGAUCCAUCGAUUAGAAUUGAACCACCGAAAAAUUUACCUUCCCAGGACAAGAGGAAGAUGCCAGGUGUCCCUAAUGGCACUGCUUGCCAUACUGAGCCAGAACAGCACAGUGGACCCGAACUUGAACGAACAGGAAGGCUCUUUGGUGGUUUGAUCAUGGAUGUGAAACGAAAAGCUCCUUGGUUCUGGAGUGACUUCAGGGAUGCUCUGAGCUUGCAGUGCUUGGCGUCUUUCCUCUUCCUAUAUUGUGCCUGCAUGUCCCCCGUGAUUACCUUUGGGGGGCUGCUUGGAGAAGCGACCGACGGACAAAUAAGUGCAAUAGAAUCCUUAUUUGGCGCCUCGAUGACUGGAGUUGUGUACUCUCUGUUCGCUGGACAACCCCUCACUAUCUUAGGAAGUACCGGACCGGUGUUGGUGUUUGAAAAGAUUUUGUUCAAGUUCUGCAAAGACUACGCACUCUCCUACCUUUCCCUGAGAACCAGUAUUGGAUUGUGGACUGCUUUCCUGUGCAUCAUCCUUGUGGCAACAGACUCCAGCUCCCUAGUACGCUACAUCACUCGCUUUACUGAAGAAGCGUUUGCUUCUCUGAUCUGUAUCAUUUUCAUCUACGAAGCUCUAGAGAAACUGAUUAAGCUAGGGGCAACCUACCCCGUCCACAUGCACAGCCAGCUCGACCACCUUACCUUCUACUACUGUAAAUGUGCUGCUCCUGACAAUCCCAGCAAUCAAACCCUACAGUUCUGGAGCGACAGGAAGAUUGUCCCUUCUGCGAUUGAGUGGGCAAACCUCACUGUCAGUGAAUGUCGGAAAAUGCGUGGUGAAUUUACUGGACCUGCCUGUGGGCACCAUGGCCCCUACACACCAGAUGUCCUCUUCUGGUCUUGCAUUCUCUUCUUCACCACCUUCAUCAUGUCUGGCGCACUGAAGAUGUUUAAAACCAGCCACUAUUUCCCGACAAGAGUACGAGCCAUGAUAAGUGACUUUGCUGUUUUCUUAACUAUCGUCACUAUGGUGACUUUUGAUUUGUUAAUUGGAGUCCCAUCACCAAAGCUACAAGUGCCCAGUGUCUUCAAGCCGACAAGAGAUGACCGUGGGUGGAUUAUUAGCCCGAUAGGACCCAAUCCCUGGUGGACGGUGUUAGCAGCUCUCAUCCCAGCUCUUCUCUGCACCAUCUUGAUAUUCAUGGACCAGCAAAUCACUGCUGUUAUCAUAAACAGAAAGGAGCAUAAACUCAAGAAAGGAUGUGGCUACCACUUGGACCUUCUGAUGGUAGCAAUAAUGCUUGGUGUGUGCUCCGUGAUGGGGCUGCCCUGGUUUGUUGCUGCAACUGUUCUAUCCAUCACCCAUGUGAACAGCCUUAAAUUAGAGUCUGGCUGCUCAGCUCCGGGAGAACAACCGAAAUUUCUCGGGAUACGAGAGCAAAGAGUCACUGGCCUCAUGAUCUUUGUGCUUAUGGGCUGUUCCGUCUUCAUGACUGCUGUGUUAAAGUUUAUCCCGAUGCCUGUGCUUUAUGGUGUGUUCCUUUAUAUGGGCGUUUCUUCACUCGGAGGGAUUCAGUUCUUUGAUCGCCUGAAGCUGUUUGGAAUGCCAGCAAAACACCAGCCCGACUUUAUCUACUUACGGCACGUCCCCUUGCGAAAAGUACAUCUCUUCACCGUGAUCCAGCUGACGUGCCUCGUUUUACUCUGGGCCAUCAAAGCUUCUCCUGCUGCCAUUGUCUUUCCCAUGAUGGUCUUGGCUCUGGUCUUUGUCCGGCAAGUCAUGGAUUUCUGUUUCUCGAAGCGGGAGCUCAGCUGGCUCGAUGAUCUCAUGCCAGAAAGCAAGAAGAAAAAACUGGAUGAUGCCAAAAAUAAAGCCAAGGAAGAAGAGGAGUCUCAGAAAAUGAUGGAAGCUGCUGAAGCAAAUGUAAUGCAGUUAUCAUUGGGGAAAACAAAAUAUAUGACUGUUCCAGGACGAAAUAACAAUACCAGGCAGAAUCAAGUGGCUGACAUGUCCUGAAAUGAAAGUGACGUGAGGUUUCUCACCCCUUCCUCAUGGGAAAACCCAUUGAAGCCAAGACCUGGUGGUGGAUGUGAAAACUAAGGGACGAUCCUGCAGAGAUAAACAUCUCAGAUGAAAUGCCUAAGACAACUGUAUGGAAAGCUCUCAGCAUGAACACAGAAAAUGUCUAAAUCCAAGCAGAAGAGGGACCUUGACUUUGGCGGCGGGGGAGGAGAUCGUGAAGAUGACUCAGGGAUGAGCCAAGAUGUACAGACACGGGGAGAAAAUACUCUGAAAAAAACGGAGAAAGGGGGAAAAAAAACCCACCACUCUCCUCUGGUACUUUUUUCAUUCAAGUAACUGGAUUCCCAUUAAAGCCAUUCAGACAUUUUCAAUGAUCUUUGGUGUGCUUUGGUGGGCAUUUAUUCUCUUCAGACCAGCAAGCUGAGGUGGCCAUGGCAAUCGAUGACAGUUCAGUGUUAUUAAGCCUCUCUCUGUGCGUGCGUUCUGUUCUUUUUGUGGUAGAGAGAUUACUACCGCACAGCCAUUGAGCGGUAUAGAUUUUCCAUCUGAUUUUCUUUUAAAAAUAUAAACUCUGAAUGUACAAAAUUCAUUUUUUCUGGUCUUUUUGGGCCACCCUCCAUUUACCGGUCUUCUCUUACUGGCUAUUGGGCUGGUUGGGUUCUUGGUUAAGUUUCUGCAGUGAUUUCUCUUCUCGUGUAUUUUAAUAGUUGUCACAGGUCCAUCUAGCGACAGACCUUGGGGGGCCAAUGCAAUGGGAAUAUCUUCAGCAGAUCUGGACCAAAGCUGCAAACUGGUUUUUCAGUGCACGCUCAUUUGAGUUUUUGCAAUUUUGCACACAUUCUGGCAACUAAGGCCUGGGUUCAGCAAAGCAUGCCGGCCGCGCUCGGCGGUGCGGUGCCUAAUUUAGGGUGGAUGAUUGGCGGGAUUGAGGCUUCUAAGUGUCUAAAUCCCUUUUGGCAAUGAUACUUAAGCUCCUAAAUCAGUUAGGCAUUGCAACGCUGUGCAUGGCGACGCCUCUAAAUACCUUGAAAAAUCUGGGCCUUAAGGACAUUCUUAAGUCCCGUCGAAGUUCAUGGAACGUGCUUAAAAUGAAAAGCUCUCCUGAUUAUGUAAAUGAAUCGUGUGUGUUAUGGUAGCCCCUAGUGGCGCUGACUAAGAUCAGGGCUCCAUUGUGCUGAAAGGGAGUCCCAGCCCCAAAGAGCUUGUAGUCUGUCUAGACAGGAGGGUCAUGCGGGCAUUGUUGCUUCUGUCGGCCGAGCUCCGUGCACGCACCGGGGCUCCUUGCAUCCCUCCAUUCCUCCCCCACAAGCUCCCUGAGUACCCCUUCCCAACCCUCUUUGUUUUAGGGAGUCCCUGCAACCCCCACCUCCCUCAUGCUAGGAGUUUUGUGUACCCCCAUGCCCCCUUCCCCCCCAGACCAGGGUCCUCCAUUAAACCCCCUAUGCCAGGGCUUUGUGUACUUCCUCUCCCCCGCCCCUCAUACCAUGGGCCCCUAUUCAACCCCCAUGCCUGGGGCUCUGUGUACCCCCAUGUCAUAAAAAUAAAGGGAAGGGUAAACCCCUUUGAAAUCCCUCCUGGCCAGGGGAAAGCUCCUCUCACCUGUAAAGGGUUAAGAAGCUAAAGGUGACCUAAGCUGGUAAAGAUAAGCUUAGGGGGUUUUUUCAUGCAGGUCCCCACAUCUGUACCCUAGAGUUCAGAGUGGGGGAGGAACCUUGACACCCCAUUUCCUCUUCUCCCCCAUGCCUGGGGUUCUGUGUACCACCCUUCUGCCCUCCCUCCCAUGCCAGGGUCCCCCAUUAUUCCUGCUCCAUGCCAGGGGCUUUGGGUGUCUGCUUUUUUCUCCCCCCUCCAAAGUACCUUUCUAUCCCUCCAGAUUGGAAGGGACGGACGGACAGCUGGGGUCCUCUCACUUUCUCUCUCCCUCCCCCUACCCCUCAAGGAGGGAGAAAGGAAUGAAGCUGCCUUUACUCUCCCCUCUUUUUGACUCCCCCUGCUGGCUGAACAUCUGCCCCCUGGCUGUUACACAUCUCUCUGCAAGGAGAGUAAACAGCAGCGGAAAUGGGUUUUCCAGUGUUCACCAAACUCAAUAGGGUUCUGCCCGUUGAUGCCUAGCAUGCUCCCUGAACUUUCAGAAUUGAUCGGCCGUGGCAUUCAAAAGUUAUUGCGUUACUCACUGGCAGGCAAACAGAGAAAGGCCACUGAGUUGACUGUAGGGCUUUGUUUUGCUAGGCCAGCUCAGGGUGAGUGAGCCAGGAAUAAAACCCAGGUGCCCUACGGCUCAGUCCUGUGUUCUGUCCAUCAGGCAAUGCUUCUUUCUUGCUUGUUCGCCUGCUUAGAGUUAAGCAUGUGCCUGAGUGCUUUGCUGAAGCCGGGCCUAUGUUAACUCACGCUGUGCAUGGGAACAGGGAACAUUGCAGACGAUUCAUAAUGGUGAGUAUUCAUGCCAUAAGCCUGCUUCGAAGAAUCACCCUCGUCCUGUGAUGGGCCAGAAACAUUGGUUGUGACCUUGGAGGCCAAUCAAAAAAGCUUGAAUGCCGCAAUGACGCGCCCCUGUGUGAGCGUCAGCCCAAGAUUUGUUCACACCAGCUCUUCAGCGAAUAGGUUCUAACCCUGCACGAUUUGGAGAAAACUGCAGUCUCGUGGUGCUCACUUCUUGGGCGGAAAGAGGCAAUGAUAAUUAAUAUGUCAUCUGAAAACAAGAGCUGUCAGAUGACUGUCAUAUCGUCUAGCUGUAUCAUAGUCUGGGGACUUUCUCUUUGUUAUACCGCUUGGCAGCGUAUCACAAUCAGAUCAGCUAUCAAAUCCCUUUUCGAAAUCAGGGUUCGUCUGAAGGCCGCGUUCAGCAAAGCACUUAAGCACGUAACUUUAAAUACAUCUAGUUCUGUGCAUAAGGGAAUCAUACAGGUGGAAGGGAUCUCGAGGGGCCAUCUAGUCCUUCAUCCCAGUCUGGGGCAGAACUCUCCGUCCCGUUCCCCUGGAGCAGAGGGAUUCUACAAGCCACAGAUUCAGCUGGGGAGGAUUCCACCGGUAGCACCAUAAGGCUGUCCUCUGAUGAACCCUCUGUACAUCUCUGCAGUAGAGGGCAUGCCAGAGCUGGGAAGGUUGCGUCAAAGGGCGCAGCGAUCCCAGCAGUGCUGUGGCCCAUAGCUCAGCCCUGGGAGGCUGCCGUAACUUUGACAGGCCCCCAGGGGUUUCUAAAUUACAGCAGGGGCCACUGCAGUCCCUGGUGCAGGCCAGGAUCAGAAAGGCACAAAGGUAACAUAGCCCCACCCUCCUCUGUGCGGUGCCUCUUAGAGGUACAACCCAGAAUCUCACCUGUUGACUCUCACGGGCCUACUCAGAUGCUUAUAAUUCAAUCAGGUGCUUAAAUACCUUGCUGAAUCAGGGCUUCAUUCUGCCCUUCUUACUCAGCCAAAACUCAGUUCCCAUCGAAUUCAAGAAGAGAGUCCCCAAAGGUUUGAUUUUUCAAGAUCAGGGCCCAUGUUUUUAAAAAGCACAUGGAUUUCUUAUUGGUGGAAUCUUUUAUGCUUUUUCCAAGCAAAUGUGACUAGUCUACGAUCCAGAGCUUUCCCAGUUUACUGACCGUCCUGCAGCGUGGAUAGAUGUUAUGGUAGCACUUACUCACCCGAACAGGACUUGAUUGUUUACUGUAAAUACUUUCGCCUGCAGUGAAACUCACUCCAAACAUAUGUCUCCUUUCUUUUUAAAAUGCUUUCAUUUAUUCCGUCCAGAAUGAUUGAUCUGACUGAUUAUGAUCAUCCAGAGGGCUGAAUGUGGAGCCCUGAAUUAUAAAACGAAUGUACUUUGAUUUAUUUGCUUUGUAAAUUGCUUUUUCAGCAUCCAUGAUGUCAGUGUACAUCGCUCAUACUCUUAAAGGAAUAGUUUCAGUGGAAAUUUCUUCUUUUAAUACAGUUGCCCGAUCUACUGUAUUAUUAAGCGCCUGUGGAAAGUGUUACACAGGGGCCGAGCCUCAUUCCAGCCUCACUGGUGUAAAGUGGGCGUAACUCCAUCAUUAUGCUGGCAUCUGAAUGGUGGAAGUGAGAUCAGAAUCAGGCCUUCUAAAUUUAGCAUAAGAAUGGGGUGGUAGCGGGGAAAGAUUGAAUUAUUUUUGCUACCCCAACAGAUUUGGUUGAAGAGGAACCCAUUGGGUAGUAUUUUUGGGCAGCGCUUUAUAUUGUUUUCUUGUAUCACAGUAGAGCUUUGUUAUAACCCCUUGAUCUUUACACCCAUCCUUGUGAGAUGGAAACUUUAGAAUAGUCUUUUACCCGCCUAUGGUUUUUAUAUAUCAGACUGACCACCGCUUGUAGCGCGAAAGCUUUGGAAAGGAUUUUUUUCUGUGGCUCCUGUUUCUGUGAAAAGUGAUUUUCUCCAAGGCUUGCAGGAUCAAUUCAGAGCAGCCCAAUGGCCUACAAACAGACUAAUUUGAAAAAAAGUUCCUAGCUUGCAGCCAGUAAGUUUGGCGGGUGAAGGGGGGAUCAUGAAAAUACAAACAGAUCUUGAGAAAAGAUGGUGAGGGAACCCAGAAGACUUCUGCAGAUGGUUGACGGGACACCUGGCGGAGCGGGAAGGAAAGGAAGUUCUGUCGCAGGAGUGAUGAAAGUGCCAUGGGGUGGGAAAACUGACUCAGAAUACCGUUUACUCGUCCCUGUUCCCUCACACACACUACCUAUAGCAAUUACAGCUAUGAACCUGCAGUGGUUCUUAUGCGCGGCUGCAGCUUGAAAAUCCGUGCUGGCCAGGAUCUAAAAGAGUUGGCCUGUUGGUUGCAGCUUUGGUUUCCCCUGCUGAAGCAGGGUCCUUACAGGGUACACAUUGGGAAUGUGGAUGCAUUACAUCCUUCGCAACUCCUGCCUUUGCUACUGCGGCCAGUAAGAUGUUGGCGACACAUUUACCGGCUGCCUCCAUUGGCAAAGGGCUGCCUGGUUCCCUCGGGCACUUGCAUAAUGCCCUCCUUCAGCUAUUGAAUGAUAAAGAUGCUAAUAGGCUUGACUUAGUCAUCAGGCAACCGCAAUCUGUAGGGUGCUGCAGUAAGGACUAGGGUCUGAGAGAUCUAAGGCCCCUUGUCAAAAGCUGGGAAUCUCCCUCAGCCCAGAAUUCAAAGAUUGAUAGAUCAGAAGGGUCCAUUUUGAUUCUCAGUCUGAUGCAGGGGUGGGGUGGGGUUCCUGAUCCAGUCAUCCACCAAGGGCCCACUGAAGCAUAGCGGAAUUCCAGUCCUCUUCUCUGCUAAUGACCAUUAGUGGGGAGGGACCUUCAGGUCAACUGCCCUGGGAGCUGAAAAUGUGUCAGCUCAAGGAAGCAAAAGGCCAGGCCUCUUGUUCUAGCUCUGCUUUCCCUUCCCUGAUAACAGGCCGCUUGGGUUUUAUUCUCACUCCUGUCUGGCUGCGUCUGCACAGAACUUGUGACGGCGCGGAUCCAUUAAUGUAACGUGCUAUUUUAUCCUGGACGUCUGUGUCAGUGUAACCCAUCCUUACGCAGCGAGGCUGUCUGUGUCCCUCAAGUGGUUAGACGUUCAUGAGUCAGCUACAACCUUUGAGCUGAGGUCGAGGGGGGCGUUCUUUGCAUUCAGAUCCAGAAGCACUUGUAGGAGUAACGACCUGCUGUAGCUGACCCGUCAGUGUCUGAAACAAGCAUCUCCUCCUUCAUUAAAUAAGACUGAAGGGAUCAUUGAGUCCAGUCUCCUGUUACCGCAUAUGCUCAUUUAUAUCAUUAUUCCAUAUAACGAUACAAUCCAGUCUCCUGGUCACCCCAUCAUAUAACUCUAUUCAUAAAUGUAUCAAGCUCUGUGUUCAAACUAGUUAGAUUGUUUGCUCCCGCUGACCACGCCAGGGAAGAAAAAUACAGCAUGGAGAAAAUCCAUGAUUUUCCUGCCAUUUUAAAAAGAAAUGAGAGUUCCGUGAAAUAAUAAAAUGGCUUGUUUAUGCAAUGGUUACAAUUGUUUCUACUGGACAGGAGAACACUUAUUUCUAUAUGCUUUCUCUAAAAAAUAACUACUGGGUCCCUUUAAGUGUCUUUAGCAACAAUUUUUGUUUUUUACUUUAAAAAUGAGAGCACUAUGGAGUGGUUGAAAGUGAUGACAUUGCGCAGGGAGAGCUGGCUAUAUCUUUAAAAGUGGCCUGCUUUUGCUUGUAUUACGGAUGGAGUAAAAUGACGCACAUUGUGGAACUGUUUACAACACAGCCACAGCUGCCUUCAAUACCACAUCCCCUCCUUUUAAAUAAGUAAAACCCAACCUACAGUAAAACUGCAGAGCUUUGCCAGGAACUGGGCCCUCAGCUAGAAUCAAAAUAGACAGUCCCAGUCAAGAGACGUAACCAGUAUGGCCAGUCCCCAAACUGUUCAGAAAUCAUGAGAUUGACUUAAAAACCAUGAGAUCAAGAGAACCAAAAACUAACAAAUGGGGAGGGCGGGGAGGAAACAGUCACAUUUUGGGUUCAUUUUGCCUUCUAGUUUCUGAGCCUGUAGGGUGCUCUCAAGUCAUAAUUUCAAGUUUUUCUCUGCAACCAGGAAGGCUAGAAGCUUUUUUUGUUUUAUGAAAGCUGAGGUUCUUGCAUAACAACAUGACUCCAGAAGCAGGAGCUUUAAGGAAAACACCAAAGAUCCCGAGGGUCAACAUCAAUGUUUAGCUGCCAUCUUCAUUGCCUAUGUUUUGAGCAUGCCUCUGUUUCCUACCACGUAUCAUGAUUGGUUGACUUGUUACCUAACGGUAAUGACUAGAUAGCUGACCUGUUUCUAGAACAGGACAUGCAGAAGCAGGUUGCAAACACCAAAGAAUCUAAUUACUUUGUAAUCCGUCAGCUAAAGACAUCCCAUAGAAAGGCUUGGUUCUCUGCUCUUCUUGUGCAGUCAUUUACACCAAUGUGAAGGGCUUCUAUUCUGGUUGGCCUCGUGUGUUUUAGAGCCUUGCAUUUUACACUUGGCACUGGGGUAAAUGAUGGAGAAUCUGUCCCAUCACUGAUUUCACACUAGAUUGAUAACAAAUAGAAAUGUGUGAGUCCCCUUCUUCUUCCACUGAGCAGGGUCGAAUUGUGCAGCUCCCCAAAGGAUGUAGGGCAGUGUCUCUGCGAACACUUCAAUGUCCAGUCCCCAGCCAUGCCUCCUCUUCUACACACAUGCCUAAGGCCUCACGGGGGCAUGGUGAUAGACCAAUCUUAGUGGAGAAUGCAGGAGCAUGGGGCUGGGCUGGGGAAGGUACGGGGGUUUAUGGGGGAUGUUGUGCUGUGGGACAUGAUGCUGUGCUGAGGAAUGUGCUCUGGGGAGAGUAUUCAAAGGGAUGCUGUGUGGGGCGAGAGAGAUGAUACUGUGCUGAGGUAAUGGGGUGGAGGUAGCUAUGCUGUGAUUGGGAGGGUGCUGGACAGAAGGGCAUGAGAUGUUGCGGUGGAUGGAAGACACAACAGGGCAGAAGGACUGAUAAAGAACCUCUCUCUGGAACAACUAGGUGACCUUUACUAGAGCUGGGCGAAUCACAUUUCAUAAAAGAUCUUUUAUCUUUUUGCAUCUCAGGGCAAAAUCUUUCUACCCGUGCAUCAUUACUAACCUUUCCCUUCCUUUAAAAUAAAUUCUUUGUUUUCAUUUAUUUCAAGCAUCGCUCUAACCAUUUCAUAGCUCUCCUUCGAGGAUUAUUUUUACAUUCUGCCUUGGCACUACUGAUAGAACUAGCUCCUCCAAGAUGAUGAAGUCAGAAUCCCACAGUGUUGCCAGCUCUUGUGAUAUUCUCACAUAUGUUAUGUUGGUGUUUUGAUUUGAAGGUCCAGGUCCUGGAGUCAGGUGAUGACAUGAGAAUCUCAGCUUUUAUUUAAGAAAAAAUCUAGCUCUCAUGGUUGAAAAUGUUACUCCAGUGAACCCUAACAUUAAAAAAAAAACAUCAGGACCUCCCCUUUACCCCCCCCAAUUUAUCAUUUCAAAAAUCUCAUGCUUUUAAUUCAUCUUGUAAUUUUGGGAGGGUCUGACUCAUUAUUUUUGACUACUCGAGGUUGGCAAUACUGUAAUACACUCUGGAAAGAUUUUCAAAGGCACACGUGGCUGUUUGGUACCUAACUCCCUUGACUUUCACUACAAAUUAGGCUCCUAAUUCCCAUGUGUGACUUUGAAAAUUUCCCUCUGGAGCAAAAUGUACCAUCAGCUCAAGGUGUUUUAAAUGGGCACCGUUUCUCUUUUUAAACACCUAUAGUACCAAGAAACAGAGAUGAUUUCUAACGGGUGGAUUAUUUUACAUUCACAUAAGUUCAUGUCUUUGCUCGCUCUCGUAAGGCAUAUUUUAAUAGUCCCCUGUAAAUCCGAUAGAUCUAAUUUGUUUGAUUUUUUUAGUUCAGAGAAUGACGAAGGCUGGGAGGAGUUAGACACCAAAGUUCGCGAAGGGAAUCUGAUGCCUAGUUCCCUUCGGUCCCCGUGAAAUAAGAGCUAAAGUGAAGUGCAUAAUAGUCUCUAAACAAGAAAGGGAAAAAGGCAAAAUGGUGCUGGCACAUUUUUUCUAGUAUAUUUUUUUCCUCCUCUUACGCUACAUGUAGAAAUGGAGAAAUUUAUUUUCUUUGUAGAGAUACCGAAAUAUAUUUAUUUUGUUGUAAGAGAUGAUGUAGUUUGCAAACACUCCACGUUGUAAAUAAAAUGGGGAAACAGUAUGGAACGACGUGUUAUUUACAAAUUAAACUGUUUGCUAAAAGUCCGACAUGUGAUUUGAUUGAGUUUAUUUCAGGGUUGGGGGUUUUGUUUGGGUUUGUUAUGUAAAAAACUGUUGCUGUCUCGUGCUUUGUGUCUGUGAAAUGUUGCUUGGUGAUCGUGGUACCUCAACAGUCAGAACGGUGCCUGUCUUUGAUUGAUCUGUAGCUCAUCGAAAAUAAUGGAAACAAAUAAUAAAAAAAAUUUGUUUGA